rnacentral:misc_RNA from 1 species
GAAAUGCGAUAAGUAAUGUGAAUUGCAGAAUUCAGUGAAUCAUCGAAUCUUUGAACGCACAUUGCGCCCGCCAGUAUUCUGGCGGGCAUGCCUGUUCGAGCGUCAUUACAACCCUCAGGCCCCCGGGCCUGGCGUUGGGGAUCGGCGGAAGCCCCCUGCGGGCACAACGCCGUCCCCCAAAUACAGUGGCGGUCCCGCCGCAGCUUCCAUUGCGAAGUAGCUAACACCUCGCAACUGGAGAGCGGCGCGGCCACGCCGUAAAACACCCAACUUCUGAAUGUUGACCUCGAAUCAGGUAGGAAUACCCGCUGAACUUAAGC